UGGGGAAUUUUCCGCAAUGGGCGAAAGCCUGACGGAGCAAUGCCGCGUGGAGGUGGAAGGCCUACGUGUCGUCAACUUCUUUUCUCGGAGAAGAAACAAUGACGGUAUCUGAGGAAUAAGCAUCGGCUAACUCUGUGCCAG
rnacentral:rRNA from 1 species